AAGAGAAAAUGUUAAUAAAGAAGCUGCUAACUAUCUUUUUAAGCGGUUAAAUUCCGUUUUUCUCUUA
rnacentral:tRNA from 1 species